UGUGGUGGUAACUUUGGAUGCUGUCA
rnacentral:piRNA from 1 species